AUGUUUAAGACUAAAUGGUUACUACGAAUUUUGUUUUAGUUACUAUGUCUUUAUCUAGUAAUUACAUACUAAUUAACGGGCUGUAAAAAUGAAGGGUUACAAUUUUAAUACCAUGUGUAGACGCAUUUCUGAAAAUGUGGGCACAAUCAGAAUGUGGACAAGAUCAAGAAAAGGAUGCAUGUUAGCACCAGGUAUAAACGAAAUGUAUGAAUUUAGUUACAUUUCUCCAGGCCAAUUCCUCAGCAGAAAUAAAAUAACAAACGGACAAACGAAGACUGUUUUUGUUUUUCUCUGCAAACCCAUACUUUUAUCCGUCCCAAUAAUGGCUGCACUGUCUGAAAAAUGCUACCCUUAACGACUACUGUAUAUCAGUGCUUUUAAAAACCACCACUGAACUCACUAAAAGCCUAUUUCCCGUGCCCAAAACAUUUAACAGGGGCAGUGUGAUCGCUUUGUUGUUGUUUCAACUGCAGAUGAAAUGGCUGCAUGGCCUGUAUAAGGCCAGUUUUUAUUUGAAUCAUCAUUACAGUCAUCUGAGACCACUGCCAUCUUCUUGGAACAUCUAAUUGUCACGAGCGGAAUGAACCGUUUAAGGAGUGAGUCAAACGCAGGAGACUGAGGUCCGUUGGAACAAUCUUAAUUUAAUAAAUCCACGGGUAAGUUUCACAUACGGCUGGGAGCAUAACAGUCAGAAAAAUGGACAAAAGGAAGCUCCGUUCAAAAGGCAGACGGGGCGCAGCCCGGCAACCCUAAUGCCUAGAUAAUAAAAGUAACACCACACGUAACAACGAACAAUCCCGCACAAAAUCCUAGCUAAACACAGACAGACUAAAUAACCCCCCCACUAAUGACAAAACACAAAACAGGUGCAAACAAAAACCAGACAUAACUAAUAGACACUGAAACACAGAUCGGUGGCAGCUAGUAGGCCGGCGACGACGACCGCCGAGCGCCGCUCGACCGAGGAGAGGCGCCCCCUUCUGUGGAUGUUGUGACACUAAUGCUCUCUAUAAAGGGGAAAUCCGCAGUUGAAACAAUAACAAAGUUCACUCGCCACCACUGUUUCAGAAAAAAAGCUAAGGGGAUGGGCGGGAGAAAUGUCACCACUCUAAAAUGGAUACACA
rnacentral:lncRNA from 1 species